rnacentral:rRNA from 2 species
CUUCGGGUUGUAAAGCACUUUCAGUCGUGAGGAAGGUAGUGUAGUUAAUAGCUGCAUUAUUUGACGUUAGCGACAGAAGAAGCACCGGCUAACUCCGUGCCAGCAGCCGCGGUAAUACGGAGGGUGCGAGCGUUAAUCGGAAUUACUGGGCGUAAAGCGCAUGCAGGUGGUUUGUUAAGUCAGAUGUGAAAGCCCGGGGCUCAACCUCGGAAUUGCAUUUGAAACUGGCGAGACUAGAGUACUGUAGAGGGGGGUAGAAUUUCAGGUGUAGCGGUGAAAUGCGUAGAGAUCUGAAGGAAUACCGGUGGCGAAGGCGGCCCCCUGGACAGAUACUGACACUCAGAUGCGAAAGCGUGGGGAGCAAACAGGAUUAGAUACCCUGGUAGUCCACGCCGUAAACGAUGUCUACUUGGAGGUUGUGGCCUUGAGCCGUGGCUUUCGGAGCUAACGCGUUAAGUAGACCGCCUGGGGAGUACGGUCGCAAGAUUAAA